rnacentral:lncRNA from 1 species
UAGCCCAGCGGAACGGGCCUUGGUUUCCAACCAAGUGAUCCAGAUUCGAGUCUCGAUGGAUGCCGAGGCCACGAUUAAAAUACCAGACUUAAAUGACCUACGAUGAUUUGAUCCUGGCGUCCUGGGCGCGGGGUCUAGAAAUGGUUUCUAAUCCGCUGUGUGAUGUGGUGGGCUGGAAGUGACGUACUCACCCAACUCGAGAUCUCUCCUCGGGCGUGCUGGGGAGGAGAUUGCAUUUAUUGCUCUCUACAUCGAACAUUCACUCAGCGGGAUGGGGGCUCUCAUGAUCACGUCCAGAGGGGGUUGCUACGCCUGUCGCCCCUCCUCACCCUAUUAUGUCUUACCAAAAAAAAAGAAAAAAAGAUAAAUAUA